GUAGGUGGCAAGCGUUGUCCGGAAUUAUUGGGCGUAAAGCGCGCGCAGGCGGUCCUUUAAGUCUGAUGUGAAAGCCCACGGCUCAACCGUGGAGGGUCAUUGGAAACUGGGGGACUUGAGUACAGAAGAGGAAAGCGGAAUUCCAAGUGUAGCGGUGAAAUGCGUAGAGAUUUGGAGGAACACCAGUGGCGAAGGCGGCUUUCUGGUCUGUAACUGACGCUGAGGCGCGAAAGCGUGGGGAGCAAACAGGAUUAGAUACCCUGGUAGUCCACGCCGUAAACGAUGAGUGCUAAGUGUUAGGGGUUUCCCGCCCCCUUAGUGCUGCAGCUAACGCAUUAAGCACUCCGCCUGGGGAGUACGGCCGCAAGGCUG
rnacentral:rRNA from 1 species